rnacentral:lncRNA from 1 species
UCGCUUUCAUGCUUUCCCAGAUAUCAUCUAUAGUACACGCCAGGCAAUUGUGUUUAAGUUGGUCUGUCCUGAGGAAGCUCCGAGAAAGGGCUGUGCUGUUAGGUUAAUAUUUAGUAUGCGCUCACUGGUGUUCAUUUCCAUGUUCAUCUGAACCACACGACCUUCCCUGGGUCACUGCUUUCUUUGUCACAGUUGUGUAUAAAAGUGAGUGCACUGAAGCUGAAGUAAGGCUGUCCACGGCAUUAGACUAUAGUUCGCCCUGUUCUUUCAAGUCCUCAGAUCCCAGGUCUCCAGAGUAUCAGAUUUCCUCAUUGGCCAAAGUCAACACCAAUCAGGAUUUUGCUGUAUCCCAGGUUGGCCUGGAACUACAAAUGAAGCCCACAUAGUGUCACACAUGUGGUUCUCCUGCCUCUGUCUUCUCUUGUGUACCACAACAACCAGCUAACUUCGGGAUCACGGAGUAAACAGAGGCAGACAUGGUGACACAAGCCUGCAAUCCCAGCACUCAGGAGGCUGGUGGAAGAAAUUAUGAUUUAAGGCUAGCCUGGCCUCCACUGUGAGUCACAGACAAAUCAAAGCUAACGAGUGAGACUCUGUCUCAAAACGAUACAAAAAUAAUUGUGAGGGGAAAAAAAAUCUCAAAUAUGGCUUCUUUGAAUAAAAACAAAAGUUACCUC